UACGUAGGGUGCGAGCGUUGUCCGGAAUUAUUGGGCGUAAAGAGCUCGUAGGCGGUGUGUCACGUCGGCCGUGAAAACCUGCAGCUUAACUGUGGGCGUGCGGUCGAUACGGGCAUCACUGGAGUUCGGCAGGGGAGACUGGAAUUCCUGGUGUAGCGGUGAAAUGCGCAGAUAUCAGGAAGAACACCCGUGGCGAAAGCGGCUCUCUGGAACGGUACUGACGCUGAGACGCGAAAGCGUGGGGAGCGAACAGG
rnacentral:rRNA from 1 species